rnacentral:rRNA from 1 species
AGCGAACGCUGGCGGCAGGCUUAACACAUGCAAGUCGAACGCAUCCUUCGGGGUGAGUGGCAGACGGGUGAGUAACACGUGGGAACGUACCUUUUUGUUCGGAAUAACUCAGGGAAACUUGAGCUAAUACCGGAUACGCCCUUAGGGGGAAAGAUUUAUCGCAGAAAGAUCGGCCCGCGUCUGAUUAGCUAGUUGGUGAGGUAAAGGCUCACCAAGGCGACGAUCAGUAGUUGGUCUGAGAGGAUGAUCAGCCACACUGGGACUGAGACACGGCCCAGACUCCUACGGGAGGCAGCAGUGGGGAAUAUUGGACAAUGGGCGCAAGCCUGAUCCAGCCAUGCCGCGUGAGUGAUGAAGGCCCUAGGGUUGUAAAGCUCUUUCGGCGGGGACGAUAAUGACGGUACCCGCAGAAGAAGCCCCGGCUAACUUCGUGCCAGCAGCCGCCGUAAAAC